UUCAGUGACAGUGAUAAAACAGUGAUGGGCCUUCCAGCGAUCGCAUAUCUGAAUGUAAAAAGAGGUCCAAUCUGCCUAUGGCACUGUUUUCAGUGUCCCAUCAGCAGUGAAAAUUCCCACCCACCUAAUGCCAAAGCUGACCUUCAGCCACUUUAGCUUUCAUAUCUUCCACUGGAGUUGGUCCUCUGUGCUUCCGCUACAGUCAGUGGAGGGAAGUGCUUUUAGUUGUUGGUUGACCUAUUUUAGGCAUCAACUUUAAGUCUGAAACCUUAAGUUUAAAACAAAGCAUGUUUUUAAGGG